AAAGAAUUAGUUAAUUUAAAUAACCUUUAAAUGUCAUUUAAAAAUUACUUAUAAAUAGUAUUCUUUU
rnacentral:tRNA from 3 species